AGUGAACGCUGGCGGUAGGCCUAACACAUGCAAGUCGAACGGCAGCACAGUAAGAGCUUGCUCUUACGGGUGGCGAGUGGCGGACGGGUGAGGAAUACAUCGGAAUCUACUUUUUCGUGGGGGAUAACGUAGGGAAACUUACGCUAAUACCGCAUACGACCUACGGGUGAAAGCAGCGGAUCUUCGGACCUUGCGCGAUUGAAUGAGCCGAUGUCGGAUUAGCUAGUUGGCGGGGUAAAGGCCCACCAAGGCGACGAUCCGUAGCUGGUCUGAGAGGAUGAUCAGCCACACUGGAACUGAGACACGGUCCAGACUCCUACGGGAGGCAGCAGUGGGGAAUAUUGGGCAAUGGGCGCAAGCCUGAUCCAGCCAUACCGCGUGGGUGAAGAAGGCCUUCGGGUUGUAAAGCCCUUUUGUUGGGAAAGAAAAGCAGCAGGUUAAUACCCCGCUGUUCUGACGGUACCCAAAGAAUAAGCACCGGCUAACUUCGUG
rnacentral:rRNA from 1 species